UACCCACUCCCAGCACGGGGAGGUAGUGACGAAAAAUAACAAUACAAGACUCACAUCCGAGGCCUUGUAAUUGGAAUGAGUACACUUUAAAUCCUUUAACAAGGAUCAAUUGGAGGGCAAGUCUGGUGCCAGCAGCCGCGGUAAUUCCAGCUCCAAUAGCGUAUAUUAAAGUUGUUGCGGUUAAAACGUUCGUAGUUGAACUUGUGUUUCGCACGGUCAGUACCUAGGACUAGGCAACUAGGACGGUUCUUGUCUAACGUUCCUCUGGAACAGUGCGUAAACGUAUUAUCGGCGUGCUUUGCACAUAAGCCCAUUGUAGUCCUCUUCACCGAGUGUUGCUAUGGGCCGAUACAUAUUACUUUGAACAAAUUAAAGUGCUUAAAGCAGGCUUGUAAUGCCUGAAUACUUGUGCAUGGAAUAAUAAAAUAGGACAUCUGUUCUACUUUCAUUGGUUUUUUAGACCAAGAUGUAAUGAUUAAUGGAAGCAGUUGGGGGCAUUAGUAUUACAACGCGAGAGGUGAAAUUCUUAGACCGUUGUAAGACUAACUAAAGCGAAAGCAUUUGCCAAAGAUGUUUUCAUUUAAUCAAGAACGAAAGUUAGAGGUUCGAAGGCGAUCAGAUACCGCCCUAGUUCUAACCAUAAACGAUGCCAGCUAGCAAUUGGAUGUAGCUACUACUAUGGCUCUUUCAGUCGCUUCUCGGGAAACCAAAGCUUUUGGGCUCCGGGGGAAGUAUGGUUGCAAAGCUGAAACUUAAAGGAAUUGACGGAAGGACACCACCAGGAGUGGAGCCUGCGGCUUAAUUUGACUCAACACGGGAGAACUUACCAGGUCCGAACAUAAAUGAGUAAGACAGAUUUAUAGCUCUUUCUCGAAUCUAUGGGUGGUGGUGCAUG
rnacentral:rRNA from 1 species